rnacentral:pre_miRNA from 1 species
AUUCUACUCCCUCCGUUGCACAAUACAUGCCUUCUAUUUGUCAAAAUAUAUAUGUAUCUAGACAUGUUUUAGUAUAUAGGUACAUCCAUUUUUGGACAAAUGGAAGUCAAGUAUUUUGGAACGGAGGGGGUACACA